UACAGAGGUCCCAAGCGUUGUUCGGAUUCACUGGGCGUAAAGGGCGCGUAGGUGGCUAGGUAAGCGUGUGGUGAAAGUCCGGGGCUCAACCCCGGAUCUGCCGUGCGAACUGCCAGGCUUGAGCAAUGUAGAGGCAGGUGGAAUUUCGGGUGUAGCGGUGGAAUGCGUAGAUAUCCGAAAGAACACCAGUGGCGAAGGCGGCCUGCUGGGCAUUUGCUGACACUGAGGCGCGACAGCGUGGGGAGCAAACAGG
rnacentral:rRNA from 1 species